CCGCCAGAGAAMUACAAGUGAAAAACUAGAAACUCCAAGGACUUGGCGGUGUCCCACAUCAGCCUAGAGGAGCCUGUCCUAUAAUCGAUACCCCACGUUUAACCUUACCAUCUAUUGCAAUACAGCUUAUAUACCGCCGUCGUCAGCCUACCUUAUGAAAGAAAAAGAGUUAGCAAAAUAGUCCCACAACUAAUACGUCAGGUCAAGGUGUAGCAUAUAAGAUGGAAGAGAUGGGCUACAUUUUUUACCACAAAAAACACGAACAGCACAAUGAAACUAGUGCUCGAAGGCGGAUUUAGCAGUAAGGCAGACAAGAGUAUCUGCCUAAAACCCGCUCUGGGACG
rnacentral:rRNA from 1 species